AUGCACGCUGGCGGCGUGCUUCACACAUGCAAGUCGCACGGAAAGGCUCCUGCUUGCAGGGGUACUCGAGUGGCGAACGGGUGAGUAACACGUGGGUGAUCUGCCCUGCACUUCGGGAUAAGCCUGGGAAACUGGGUCUAAUACCGGAUAGGACGAUGGUUUGGAUGCCAUUGUGGAAAGUUUUUCGGUGUGGGAUGAGCUCGCGGCCUAUCAGCUUGUUGGUGGGGUAAUGGCCUACCAAGGCGUCGACGGGUAGCCGGCCUGAGAGGGUGUACGGCCACAUUGGGACUGAGAUACGGCCCAGACUCCUACGGGAGGCAGCAGUGGGGAAUAUUGCACAAUGGGCGCAAGCCUGAUGCAGCGACGCCGCGUGGGGGAUGACGGCCUUCGGGUUGUAAACUCCUUUCGCUAGGGACGAAGCGUUUUGUGACGGUACCUGGAGAAGAAGCACCGGCUAACUACGUG
rnacentral:rRNA from 1 species